rnacentral:rRNA from 1 species
GUGGCAGCCGCCGCGGUAAUACGGAGGGUGCAAGCGUUAUCCGGAUUCAUUGGGUUUAAAGGGUGCGCAGGCGGAUACUUAAGUCAGCGGUGAAAUCCCGGGGCUCAACCCCGGAACUGCCAUUGAUACUGAAUAUCUGGAAUACGGUUGAAGUGGGCGGAAUGUAGCAUGUAGCGGUGAAAUGCAUAGAGAUGCUACAGAACACCGAUCGCGAAGGCAGCUCACUAAGCCGAUAUUGACGCUCAGGCACGAAAGCGUGGGGAGCGAACAGGAUUAGAUACCCUGGUAGUCCACGCCGUAAACGAUGAUAACUCGUUGUUGGCGACACACAGUCAGCGACUAAGCGAAAGCGAUAAGUUAUCCACUUGGGGAGUACGAUCGCAAGGUUGAAACUCAAAUGAAUUGGCGG